AGUGAACGCUGGCGGUAGGCCUAACACAUGCAAGUCGAACGGCAGCACAGUAAGAGCUUGCUCUUACGGGUGGCGAGUGGCGGACGGGUGAGGAAUACAUCGGAAUCUACUUUUUCGUGGGGGAUAACGUAGGGAAACUUACGCUAAUACCGCAUACGACCUACGGGUGAAAGCAGGGGAUCUUCGGACCUUGCGCGAUUGAAUGAGCCGAUGUCGGAUUAGCUAGUUGGCGGGGUAAAGGCCCACCAAGGCGACGAUCCGUAGCUGGUCUGAGAGGAUGAUCAGCCACACUGGAACUGAGACGCGGUCCAGACUCCUACGAGAGGCAGCAGUGGGGAAUAUUGGACAAUGGGCGCAAGCCUGAUCCAGCCAUACCGCGUGGGUGAAGAAGGCCUUCGGGUUGUAAAGCCCUUUUGUUGGGAAAGAAAAGCAGCAGGUUAAUACCCCGCUGUUCUGACGGUACCCAAAGAAUAAGCACCGGCUAACUUCGUG
rnacentral:rRNA from 1 species